AGCGAACGCUGGCGGCAGGCUUAACACAUGCAAGUCGAGCGGGGCGUAGCAAUACGUCAGCGGCAGACGGGUGAGUAACGCGUGGGAACAUACCUUUUGGUUCGGAACAACACAGGGAAACUUGUGCUAAUACCGGAUAAGCCCUUACGGGGAAAGAUUUAUCGCCGAAAGAUUGGCCCGCGUCUGAUUAGCUAGUUGGUGAGGUAACGGCUCACCAAGGCGACGAUCAGUAGCNGGUCUGAGAGGAUGAUCAGCCACAUUGGGACUGAGGACACGGCCCAAACUCCUACGGGAGGCAGCAGUGGGAAUAUUGGACAAUGGGGCAACCCUGAUCCAAGCAAUGCCGCGUGUGUGAAGAAGGCC
rnacentral:rRNA from 1 species